UGGGGAAUAUUGGACAAUGGGCGAAAGCCUGAUCCAGCCAUGCCGCGUGUGUGAAGAAGGUCUUCGGAUUGUAAAGCACUUUAAGUUGGGAGGAAGGGCAUUAACCUAAUACGUUAGUGCUUUGACGUUACCGACAGAAUAAGCACCGGCUAACUCUGUGCCAGCAGCCGCGGUAAUACAGAGGGUGCAAGCGUUAAUCGGAAUUACUGGGCGUAAAGCGCGCGUAGGUGGUUUGUUAAGUUGAAUGUGAAAUCCCCGGGCUCAACCUGGGAACUGCAUCCAAAACUGGCAAGCUAGAGUAUGGUAGAGGGUGGUGGAAUUUCCUGUGUAGCGGUGAAAUGCGUAGAUAUAGGAAGGAACACCAGUGGCGAAGGCGACCACCUGGACUGAUACUGACACUGAGGUGCGAAAGCGUGGGGAGCAAACAGG
rnacentral:rRNA from 1 species